CCAUUCACAUAACGAAAGGGUGAUACUCCCAGCCGGUCGGAUAUGUAGUUUUUUUCACACCCACCAAGUAAAAUGCAUUUGCACUCUCAUGCAGAUGAUCUCUUUCUCUCACCCUCUCCCUCCUCCCACCCACGUCCUGCUCCCCUUCUAUCUCCUAUCUCUCUCUCUUCUCUCUCUAAAAGACUCUCUCUCUGAUGUUGGGUUGUAAAAUACGCUCUCUACAAAGUUUUUGAGAGAGUUGUUGUCAUAGCAAGAAAGAGGGGAGAGUGAGAAAAAAUGAUUCCGCAACAGUGGGCAUCGCCUUGCAGAAAUACGUGCACGAAUAAGUGCGCAAAGCUGAUGCAGAUUCCAUGUUAAUGUGUAUUGUACCUUGCUCGAUUUGUUUAUUCGAUCACGGUAUAAUCUUUGAAUUUCUAUUUAUUUUAAUACCGGUAAAUUCUUCUCGGUAAUGUUUAAAUGUUUACCCAUUUUACUCCUUUUGGCGUUCUUUCGGUGAACCCCCGAGCGUAUAGGCCAACUUUGCUUAGCUUUGGAAAUUUCUAACACGUUUAGAACUAAACUUCGAAGGAAAAAAAGAUUUUACGAAAAGUUCCCCCUCUAAAUGCAUCAAGAGCUGGAGCACCCUCGAUGGUCUUGAAUGAACUGCCGCUUCUUUCAACGGAAGUUCAUGUAGUUAAACACUCUCUUCUUGGAAUCUCCAGCUUUUAGAAGUCGGCGUAGGUGAAUCAUAUGCGUUGUAGGCAGGAUCCACUGUAAUACCAAGUGCAUGUUAUGUAAAGUUGCUUGAUGGAUGAUGGAGUACUAUUAGUUCUUCAGUGUUAGAUGACAACAUGCAAGUAGUAGAAAGAAAUCUACGCCCUAACCUUUUAAUAUCUAUCUUCAACAUUUUGACCGAUUCUUACUGAUUGAGUCAAGAUGAAGAUGUUCUAAUUCCAUUCUGUUUGGUUCUUUCUUUUUGAAGUGUUUAUCAUAUUUACCGUGGUUGGAUUCUCAUUUUUCUUUACCGGUGCUUGUUUUGGGCUUCUUUGGGUGAAUUCUCAUUAUUCACAGUUAAGCUUUUCCAGUCCUCGAGGUUUAUGUUGCUUUUCUCUUAGUUAGUGCUACUGUUCUUCAUUUUUGCAUUGUGCUACUCAUGUAUGACAAUAUAUCGUCGAAACCAUAAUGAGAAACAUUUGGCCACACAUUAGUGGGAAACCACACAUAAUGAGAAACCAUAAUGUCUGGUUUCCCACUAAUGAUUUUCCUAACUAAUGAGUGCACCACAUCUAUACGCUCUCUAUCAAAGACAAUAACUGCCAAUGUUGGAUAUCCCCCCACCUAUCUCUAUUUCCUUCUCUCAGAUUCUGGUUUCCCCAAUUAAAUCCUACAGAUUUACCCAGUCUGCACUUCUAGAAUUAUGAAGUAUAACUUUCUUUUAUGUUGAUCUUUUCAGCAAUUCCACUAUGCCGAAUAAGAUACCUUAUUUAACCAUGUUUGUUUAGUAACUGAUAAUAGCAAUAUUGAUGUAAAACCAUCUCAUGAAUGCCAUUUUAUUAUGGCACCUACUUUGUAGGAUCACAUGGGCGCGAGUUACCCUUGUUUAGGUUAUAACAAGUAUAUAUAGUUCAUGUAUAAGCCUUAAUUAAUUUAAACUGUUUGAAGAGUGGUGCUGUGACCCAGAGGUUUCACUUCAUGCAAGAUUCUUUAUAACAUUUCUACUCUCUAUCAGUUCAAGAAGGACAUUGGGAUCUAAUUCUUAUGCUUGUUUUGGGUCUCUUUUGUGUAUUACUCAGUAGUCACUUCAAAGUCCUUGUGCUGGAAUUUGUUACAAUAAGUAUAUAGUGCUCUUUUAAAAUUUAAAACUACUGAUUAAAUACAGUAUGGAUUCUUGUAGGGCGAGUAUUUUGCAAAAAGGCAUGCGAUACUGAUGGAGAGAUGUGGGAAGAAUGCAAGUUUUUCUUACCUGAUUCGUGUCAAUUUUGCUUCUAAAUCAUUUAGGUCGGGUGUUUAUAUUUUUUCAUUUUAAAUUCAUAUUUGAAACCGUUCAUUUUCUCGAACUGAUUACCAUAUUAUUUUUGGAUGCUAAUUCUUUCUGAGGUUUGUACUCAUCAAAUCUAGAGCUUGAUUCAAAUCCUUUUAAGGUAUUUGUGUUGUACUUGAGCCGGAUCAACACUCUAGUGUAUGCAGUAGUUUGGCUCCAUUUGUUUCUAGCAAAGUAAGUUAGGAAAUCAAUUUUGUAAGGGAUUUUUUAUUAGAAAGAAUGUGCUAACCUAUUGAGGAGAUGUUCGUUGGAAAUUUAAAAAAUGGACCUAAAAUCCCCUUAGUUACUCUUAAGGGUGUGCCUGUGUUGGUAGACCUGUACUCGCUUCUUGAGUUAUUUUGUAUUUAAGAUUCUUUUAUUGGGACUUGUUAGGCUUGUAUUGAGGCUAUUUUGGAGAUUUUCUAAAUAUGAAAAUCUCCUAUCUAUUUCACAUUUGUUGGACUACAUAUUUUGUUGUGUGUAUUUGGAGAUUAUAGGCUAGUGAUAUAUCUAUGUUUGAUAGUUUUUCACAAUUUGGAGAGAACUUUAUAUGGUUUGAAUGUCAACAAAAAAUUAGGAUGCUUGUUUUCAGGUUUAGUUUAGUUCAAGUAAUUGGUGUUAACAUACUGGUCAUGCAUGCAAAUCUAGAUUUCAGGUUUGGGUCAGCCGGUAGCUCCAGUGGCCCCUAGAAAACAUUGCCCCAUCCCUUAGAUAUAAAGGGAUGCUUGUUAGGGUUAUUACAGCUACUCUAUGGGAUUAAUACUCUUCUUACUUACAGAAGUUUCCCACCUACUUGACAGUCUUGAGCACUGCUCUUCUCUGUUUUAAAGGGGAGAACUUGAAUUAGCUGGUGUCUUGAAAAUGGCCGUUAAAACACACUCUCGGUUCACUUUAGCUUGGAUAUUUUUUAAACAAUGAUUUAUCCAUACAUUGGACCUGAUAUGUAAUAAAUCAUUGGUUUGAAGAGCUCUUUUACGAACACAAAAAAAAAGUGCAUACUGAUACAUGGGAGCGGGAAGUCAAUAUUUAUUCUUGUAGUUGUUUACAAGCUUCACUUGAGAAGAUAUUGCAUUUCCAGGCUUGGAGGAGUGCGAUGAGCUAUGCUAUAAGGACCCUGUACUAAAGGGCCGCAAGUGGAGUGCCUACUUUGAUCGUUCUCCCGGUGCUGCAGUCAACUCAGAGUUCCUCGUGAUCGCGCUUGAGGUUUUAUAAGAAACGCGGAGAUCGAGGUAAG